GAUGAACGCUGGCGGCGUGCCUAACACAUGCAAGUCGAACGAAGCACUUUGAAGUUUUCGGACGGAUGAGUGACUGAGUGGCGGACGGGUGAGUAACGCGUGGGUAACCUGCCUCAUACAGGGGGAUAACAGUUAGAAAUGACUGCUAAUACCGCAUAAGCGCACAGCUUCGCAUGAAGCGGUGUGAAAAACUCCGGUGGUAUGAGAUGGACCCGCGUCUGAUUAGCUAGUUGGCGGGGUAACGGCCCACCAAGGCGACGAUCAGUAGCCGACCUGGGAGGGGGACCGGCCACAUUGGGACUGAGACACGGCCCAAACUCCUACGGGAGGCAGCAGUGGGGAAUAUUGCACAAUGGGCGAAAGCCUGAUGCAGCAAUGCCGCGUGAGUGAAGAAGUAUUUCGGUAUGUAAAGCUCUAUCAGCAGGGAAGAAAAUGACGGUACCUGACUAAGAAGCCCCGGCUAACUACGUGCCAGCCGCCGCAGUAAUAC
rnacentral:rRNA from 1 species